GAUGAUGAUGAUGAUGAUGAUGAUUAGGUAUCACCAUUUUUGAACACUGUUGCGUUGCUCUGCACAAUACAUAGAAAAGCGAGGAUAACUGUGACUGCGCACAGGGUUAACAAUCAUUGACGGAUGGGUACAAAUUUAUUCGAUAAAAAUCAACAUGUAUAAAAAUGGUGGACUGCUACGCUCAUUUCGUGACCCAGAGUAUAUUUAUGUGAAAAUAACGACUCUAACGACAAAUCCAACCCAGUUAAGAUCACUGUCAGGACCAUUUCCUGUAUUGGUGGAGGAGAAAACUGAUGCUCCCUCCUAUUGGGAUACAGAUGCAGAGAACUCGAUAUUCAAAAGCUGGAGCUACAGCUGCGGCAAAUUAAAAUGGAAAUUAUGAUGGCAGUGGCCUACUUGAGUUUCACAAAACUUCCACUGAGAUUGAGACCAGCAUGCAAGACCAAAGUCAAAGAACACAACAAGAUUCACAAUAUGGAAUCGAAAGGAGCUGACAGGGUAGACUGAUAUAUUAAAACACAGAUGAUAACACAGAAAGAAGUUUCAACAGCGGUAGUCUUCGAUAUGUUAAAGAUACUGCUGUGGGUGUACAUGGACUUCUGAAGCAUCAGUCUGAUUUACCAGCAGAGCUGUGAAUGCAACAUCUCUAGCCAGAAAUAAUUUUCCUGAGCAGCAUGGUAAGCUUUUGCAUAUUAAUUUCCAGACUUCCUUUGCCUAAGCUUCGUUUUGUUUGUUUUACAAAAGGAUGCAAGACUUUUCCAAAAUAAUAACUGAUGUACUUUGGUAAACGUUGACAAGGCAAGUUGACAUUUUUACUAGUGAUUAUAUACCAUCGUGCCAUUGUAGUCAUGUAGGAGCGGGGGCGACCGCGACCCAAUAUUCUGGCUAGAAACGGCAAAGGUGUCGCGAAUAUUUGAUAGCAAUUUUCCUAAUAAUCGUUUUUUUAAUAAAGCUACGCGCAUAAAGAUCAAUACAAGUCUAACACGAUAUGAAAUAAAGAGAUCAUCAGGUCAUAUCUAGCUGAUUUGUUAGGGAAUGGCUUGAAAACGGUCAGCGGAUUAAUAAAGAUGGUUAAGUCGAAGAAAAGGCAAUAAGACAAUAAUUAUUUGUAUUCUGAUGUUUCAAAAACUAUAGUUUAUUGUGAUAAUUGCAAUUACUCGGUUACACAGAAUUGUUGGUAAAUAGCCAGCAAUAUGACUGUAUCAUUUCAAACUCUUAUAAAAGUUUGAAUUUAAAAUUGACAUACCAAAUCAGCCUAAAAGUUUUAGUGCUCUGCUAAUAUCAAAUUAAGAAAAUGUUUUAAAAAAUUAUCUCCGAAAUAUAGCCUUUUUUUCAGAUUGGUACCACUUUUGCAAAUUUGUCAUAAAUGUGAUUGCCAAUGGAAAACAACAUUAUUUUUUAUCAUUUAGCACAAAUGUGUCUUUAAUUUCCAGAAUGCAUGUGUGAACCUAUAGAUAAAUAAGUUUAUAGAACCAAUUAAUGACCUUAUGUAGCAUUAGCUCUUAAGGCAUUGCAAGAAGUAAGUGGUUUUAUAUCAUUGUGCAUUUGAGAGAAACCCCCAUAUUGACCUCCCAUUUCAACAGUGACAAUAAAAUGUGCCAAAUAACCUCAUCAAGCUCACAGUUAAUAUUUAUGUCUCCCCCAUUCAUGUGGAGACAAAUUGUUUUUGCCCUGUCCAUCAGUCAGAAUGUCAGUCCAUCGGUCCGUAGGUCAGUCAGUACAUCACACUUUGUUUCCACUCAAGAACUAUAGAACGCUUGUUAUGCUAAUUGGUCGUGACUAGAAGACGUCCACUAUUGAUUUUGGGGUCACAAAGUCAAAGGUUAAGGUCUCCGUGACCUUGAGGUGAAGAAAUGGUUUCCGCUCUAUAACUUUAUAUCCUUCGAGUCAAGGAAAUGCAUUCUUGGUAUGCUAGUUGUGCAUGAUUUUGAGAUGGAAAGGUCAAAGGUCAAUGUUACUUUCAGGAAAAAAGGAUAUGUUGGCAGUGACCUUAAGCUUAAACAUGGUUUCUGCUCAAUAACUAAAAAAAAGCUUGUACCAAGGGACUUCAUACUUGGUAUGCUAGUUGUUCACGACUAGUAGAUGACUCCUUUUGACUUUUAGAUCAGUAGGUCAAAGGUCAAGGUCACCAUGACCUUCAGUUGAAGAAACGGUUCCCACUCAAUAACUAAAAAACACUGGCAACCAGGAAUUUCAUACUUGGUAUGCUUGUUGAUCAUGACUAGAAGGUGAACCCUAGUGAUUUUGAGAUCAAAAGUUUAAAGUUCAAGAUUAUCUUCAAGUAAAAAAUGAUAUUUUGGUGGUGACAUUUAGCUUAAAAAUGAUUUAUGCUCAAUAACUAAAGAACUCUUGUACCCAGGAACUUAAUACUUGACUUAAUACCGUCAGUCUGAAAAUCACACUUUGUUUCCGCUCAAUAAAUAAAAAAUGCUUGCACCCAGGAAAUUCAUACUUGGUAUGCUAGUCGGUCAUGACUAGUAAAUGACCCCUAUUGAUUUUGAGAUCAAUAGGCCAAAGGUCAAGGUUGCUGUGACAUUGAUGUGAAGAAACGAUUACCGCUCAGUAACUCGAGAACACUUUAACCCCUAUUGAUGUUAUGAUCAGUAGGUCAAAGGUCACGGUCAUGAUUAUAUUGAGCUGAAAAAAUGGUUUCCAUUCAAUAAUUGAAUAACGCUUGCGCCCAGGAACUUCAAACAAUGCAAAAUUUGUUUACAUUUUCCAGGAUUAAUCAACAACUCUUUUUCGCUUAAAUAUAUAAUACGGUUGAAUAAACUUCACUUUGGUUCAUCUCCAGUCCAAAAUUACAAAUUUCAUGUUCAUCAUUUAUUUUUUCUCAGAUACCAACACACAAUAGCGGGGACAAGCGCAUUUUCAAAAAAGCAAUCUUUAGUUAGAAUAACCUUAGGUUUUGAAAGGUUUAGAAUAAUUGUGGUUGGAUGGCCAUAGGUGGCAGUGACAGUCAGGGAUGGUCAGCAUACACUUAAGUAAAAGAUAAAGUCUUUCAUGCGUACUGAAAACUAACCAUGGAUACUUGAGGCUGAUAGAACCAAGCAUGGACACUGGUAAAUCCAACCCUGGAUGUUGAUAGAAACAACCAUGGAUGCUGAUAGAACCUACUGUAUAAGCCGAUAUAACCAACAUUGGACAAUAUCAUAACUUACCAUGGGCAGUGAAAGAAUUGAAGAAUUGACCAAAGGCAGUAAAUAAUGCAGGAACGAGUUCAAGGAUCCCCUACAUCUCUACAUAGAGGGACACGCAAACAGCCACAUCAUAUUCCUGAGGACCUUUACAUCUCUACAAGGAGGGACACACAAACAGACACAUCAAAUUCCUGAGGACCUUUACAUAUCUACUAGGAGGGACACAUAAACAGACACAUCAUAUUCCUGAGGACCUUUACAUCUCAACAUAAAUGGUCACACAAACAGCCACAUCAUAUUCCUGAGGACCUUUACAUCUCAACAAUGAGGGACACACAAACACCCACAUCAUAUUCCUGAGGACCUUUACAUCUCAAUAUAGAGGGACACACAAACAGACGCAUCAUAUUCCCGAGGACCUUUCAUCUCUACACGGAGGAACACACAAACAGCCACAUCAUAUUCCUGAGGACCUUUACAUCUCAACAAUGAGGGACACACAAACAGCCACAUCAUAUUCCUGAGGACCUUUACUUCUCAACAAUGAGGGACACACAAACAGCCACAUCAUAUUCCUGAGGACCUUUACAUCUCAAUAUAGAGGGACACACAAACAGCCACAUCAUAUUCCUGAGGACCUUUACAUCUCAAUAUAGAGGGACACACAAACAGCCACAUCAUAUUCCUGAGGACCUUUACAUCUCAAUAUAGAGGGACACACAAACAGCCGCAUCAUAUUCCCGAGGACCUUUACAUCUCUACACGGAGGAACACACAAACAGCCACAUCAUAUUCCUGAGGACCUUUACUUCUCAACCUAAAGGGUCACACAAACAGCCAAAUCGUAUUCCUGAGGACCUUUACAUCUCUACAAGGAGGGACACACAAACAGCCACAUCAUAUUCCUGAGGACCUUUACAUCUCAAAAUAGAGGGACACACAAACAAUCACGUCAUAUUCCUGAGGACCUUUACAACUCAAAAUAGAGGGACACACAAACAGACACAUCAUAUUCCUGAGGACCUUUACAUCUCAAAAUAGAGGGACACACAAACAGCCACAUCAUAUUCCUGAGGAUCUUUACAUCUCUACAAGGAGGGACACACAAACAGCCACAUCGUAUUCAUGAGGACCUUUACAUUUCUACAAGGAGGGACACACAAACGGCCACAUCAUAUUCCUGAGGAUCUUUACAUCUCAAAAUAGAGGGACACACAAACAGCCACAUCAUAUUCCUGAAAACCUUUACAUCUCAACAUAGAGGAACAGAUAAACAGCCACAUCAUAUUCCUGAGGACCUUUACAAGUCAAAAUAGAGGGACACACAAACAGCCACUUCGUAUUCCUGAAGAUCUUUACCUCUCAACGUAGAGGGACACACAAACAGCCACAUCAAAUUCCUGAGGACCUUUACAUCUCAACAUAGAGGGACACACAACAGCCACAUCAUGUUCCUGGAGACCUUUACAUCUCACUAUUUAGUGACACACAAACAGCCAUAUCAUAUUCCUGAUGACCUUUCAGCAAAUUGAGUUAUUGUCCUGUGUUACGUUUCUUGAUCAGAAUCAUUUUUGAAAACUACAGGAUGUAUUUCAACUACUGUCUACACACCACAGUUAAGCACAAUGAGAAUAAGUAGAGUGUACAAGAAACUGUUAAAGCUACUAACAGAUCGUUUGCCCUUUGUAACUUUUUCAUAACCAACUGGCUCCGAUUUCUCGAAACUACUUAAGUUUUACAGGCUUAAGUAGCUUAUUUCAAAAUGCCAAAAUAUAUACUUAACUAGAUUUUGAUAAAUCAUAAAAACCUCUUCUGAUAAUCAUGAUGAUAAUUCCUUUCUCAAGUAUAAAAUAUCUUAAAGAAGUAAACAUUACGCAAUUUAUUGAAAUCCAAACAUAGUGAGCUUAGCUUAAUCCUGUUUAAAGGGACUUCAGAAGAUUCGAGAAUUCGGGGCCAGAGCAUUUCUUUAACAUUUCUAGAUCAAAUUCAGUGGAGCUUCAUUCAAUGAUAGAAUUGAAUGAGAGUAAGUAUAUUAUAUAAGAACUAUUAGUCAAGUUAAGCUUUUCGCAGUUAUUGCCAUGUAUGACAUUUUUCCUUGUCCAUAACUUAAAAAUACUUGUUAGAACUUAAUUAAACUACAUACAAUUGUAAAGCACAGUGAUGGUUAGAACUUAAUUAAACUACAUACAAUUGUAAAGCACAGUGAUAGGAAGUAAAGUAUACAUAACACUAUUAUACCUUAUAAAGAUGGCAUUAUUCCCCUGUCCGGAACAUAACUACUUGAUGAAACUUUAUGAAACUUUUUUAAAGCACAAUGAGCGGAAAUGCACUGUAUGAAAAGCAUAACUCUAUUUCAGCUCAGUGCAGAGCUACUGCCCUUUGUCACUUUUUUUGUUCGGAAAACUUAAAUACUACUCGAUGGAAUUUAAAUAACAACUCUUUUUUAGGGAAUAUUAGAAUAAUAAUGAAUGCUUCACUUGUUUCCCUAGCGCCGGCUGGUGUCUCAGUUUGUUGAAGGAUUUGCAUAAUAGCAACAAUACAUUCAAGAUCUAAGCAAGUAUAUCUUGUAUUGAUUGAAAAAAAAUAUAUGUGUUCCCAACAUAACUUAAUAAUUAUUAAUGAUUCUGUUUGAUUAUACGUAUAGGAAAACAAAGCAAAUUAUGGACAUUUUUCUUUUGACAUGGACAUUCUGAUUAAGGUUUUGCAUGUAAGCACACACAUCAGCCAUUAGUUGAUGCAUUGAUUGUAUUUCGACUUUAUACAAUGAUACUCAACCGUUCAUCCCAAUCAAAUAACCAAGUUUAUUUGUGACAUUUGUACUCAACUAUCCAACCUCUGAUUAGGCCAAUUUUAUAGUUCUUUUGGGUUGAUUAUGGCUUGUACGUCAAAACAAAUUGUUUAAGUUGUGCAUGUAAGAAAACAUAGCAUACUUGAUAAAUUGCAUUGAAACUUAAUACAAAGGUACCAUACUGUCUUUUAAGUAGUGUUUGUUCCUUUUUUAUUCAAUUUCUUCCGUCUGGUUUAGGUUUUGCAUGUUAUCACAUUUAAUUCAA